rnacentral:rRNA from 1 species
GCUAGUAAUCGCAGAUCAGCAUGCUGCGGUGAAUACGUUCCCGGGUCUUGUACACACCGCCCGUCACACCAUGAGAGUUGGGAAUACCCGAAGCCUGUGAGCUAACUUAUAGAGGCAGCAGUCGAAGGUAGAAUCAAUGAUUGGGGUGAAGUCGUAACAAGGUACC